rnacentral:rRNA from 1 species
CCUACGGGAGGCAGCAGUGGGGAAUUUUGGACAAUGGGCGCAAGCCUGAUCCAGCAAUGCCGCGUGCAGGAUGAAGGCCUUCGGGUUGUAAACUGCUUUUGUACGGAACGAAACGGCGAGCUCUAAUAAAGUUUGCUAAUGACGGUACCGUAAGAAUAAGCACCGGCUAACUACGUGCCAGCAGCCGCGGUAAUACGUAGGGUGCGAGCGUUAAUCGGAAUUACUGGGCGUAAAGCGUGCGCAGGCGGUUAUAUAAGACAGAUGUGAAAUCCCCGGGCUCAACCUGGGACCUGCAUUUGUGACUGUAUAGCUAGAGUACGGUAGAGGGGGAUGGAAUUCCGCGUGUAGCAGUGAAAUGCGUAGAUAUGCGGAGGAACACCGAUGGCGAAGGCAAUCCCCUGGACCUGUACUGACGCUCAUGCACGAAAGCGUGGGGAGCAAACAGGAUUAGAUACCCUGGUAGUCCACGCCCUAAACGAUGUCAACUGGUUGUUGGGUCUUCACUGACUCAGUAACGAAGCUAACGCGUGAAGUUGACCGCCUGGGGAGUACGGCCGCAGGUUGAACUCAAAGGAAUUGACGG